GCAGGCGAAGCUCCUCCCUUCUGAGCAGAGAAUGGACAAAGAAUGACUUGUGAGCCCCCUAGAACAGCCCAGGGCCUGGCCUUGUCAAAAAAGGACCGUAGCCUUCUCCGGCCGAGAACCGGCUGAAGGCUGCUUUCUGUGCUCAGCCCGCGCGGCGGCUCCCGAAGACAGUGACCCUAGGUUAGCUAAGCCCACAGCGUGCGGAAGGCGGGCCCUUGGACAGGCCUGGCCAAUCGGAAGCCGAGUCUGCGCCAGCGCGAAGUCGGUGUCUUCCUGCGUGCUGCUGGGGCACGGGUGUGGCUCGGGACGUGGUGCCUUGCUGUUUGUUCUCAGGUGGAGCACGCUGCGGUUCGCUACCGGAAGCUGUGUGUGUCUUUUAAAGCAUUGUAUACACACACACACACACACACACACACACACACACACACACACACACACGCCAAUUGAUCACAAGAUGCCUUAGUGUCAUGAGGGCACUGGUGGUGCAGGUGGCCAGGAAGACCCGUCUCAGUUUUGACCUUUACCAACAGUGAUUUGCUUUGUCUCCUGACACUUGGAUGUGAGCCAUUUAUUUGACCCGCAAAUUUUCACAGGGGCGGGGAUUAGAAGUGACAUCAUUGCCAUGGGGUUUCUUUUGGUGGGUGAUAGAUGUACAACUCCAUGUAUAUACUAAAACCAUUGAAUUGUGCGCCUUAGUGGACUGUAUGGUAUGUGAAUUAUAGCACAAUAAAGUAGGUGUGAGAAUGGAAAGGAAACCGCUGAUGUCUUGUUCACUGUUAAAUUCCCAGUGGUGGCCGCACAGCUGGCAUGUAUAAGGCACAAAAUCAGUACUUGAAUUUAAAGAGAGGAAAGAGAGAAAGACUAUCUUCAACUAUUAGUAGAAACCUUACAUUUACUGAGAUGGGAUAGGAAAUGUUUAGAAUUUCCAAGUUAGAAAGUUUUAUAAAAGAAAAUACAUAGAAACCCCCAUGGGGUGCCCCAUAGGUAUCCCAGCUUCCGUGACAGUACCAGAUAUGUGUAUCAGAAUGACUUCUUCAUUAAUAACUGUUGAUGUGGUUCUCGAUCUAAAUUCUGGCUAGUAGAAACCUUCACAUAAGCUUGUCAGUGUUAAAUUCAACCUAAGUUCAAAUUAAGUGGGAAUGAGCUUUGACCCUGUAUUUUGUGCCUUGAAGAGCCCCAAGAGCAGCUCAAAAUCCUGUGGGUCCAAAAAAGGUGAAUAAGCUAUUUAGUUGGGAAGCUUUAAAAGCAUCUCGUACAAGUGGGUGAUGGGGGGAAGACAGGUAGAUCUCUGCAAGUUCGAGGCCAGCCUGGUCUAAAUAGUGAAUUCCAGGACAGCCAGAGAUUCAUAAUAGAGAGAUGCUACC
rnacentral:lncRNA from 1 species